CCCUUUGUUCCUGCCUUCUUUAAAGUGGAAAAAUACCACUUUCUUUUUAUAAAUGCAUCCCAAAUAAGGAACAAUGCCCGGUCCUAGAGCUGUAGGCAUGGUUCCUUGCCUAUAUCUGCUCGGAUAUACCACUUAUUCUUGGUCGAUCAUCAAGAGUUAUGACUUGAAGAGUCUUGAUGAUUUUUAUCCGCAGUGCGGAGACAUGAGCUACUUGGGAGGGCAUCUCC
rnacentral:lncRNA from 1 species